UACGGAGGGUGCAAGCGUUAUCCGGAUUUACUGGGUUUAAAGGGUGUGUAGGCGGGCUUUUAAGUCAGUGGUGAAAUCUCCGGGCUCAACCCGGAAACUGCCAUUGAUACUAUUAGUCUUGAAUUUUGUUGAGGUAGGCGGAAUAAGUCAUGUAGCGGUGAAAUGCUUAGAUAUGACUUAGAACACCAAUUGCGAAGGCAGCUUGCUAAACAAAUAUUGACGCUGAGCACGAAAGCGUGGGAUCAAACAGG
rnacentral:rRNA from 1 species